rnacentral:snoRNA from 10 species
GUGUUCAAUGAUGAUUUUAAUUAUUAUGCUUGAUUUCCUUUUGGAUAAUGAAGGCAUCGUUAGUCACUACAUGUUGUGAGACAA